rnacentral:lncRNA from 1 species
CUCUCCUGUCUCCUCUCCUUAGCGAAUGAAAAAGUCUCUCCCCCGUCCCCUUUUAAAUGUAAUUUUAGGCAGAAUAAAAAAAUAGUAUAGAUAACUUAUUCAGUGAGUAAUUCUUUUUUUUCCAGAUCAUAUCACUACUGAAAGAGAAGAUCGUGAUGGGAUGCCAACAAAGUUUACAGAUUCAUAGAAGAGCAGGCAAGUUGGCGUUCGGAGGCCCUGGACCUUAAAUCGCCUGACGACUGAUUUCGGACUGAGGCAAGAGGAACACAGGAUCGGACUGGAUCUGGAACCGGGUAAGUUGGUGACUCUGGAUAUGCAGGAUACCAGACAGAUACGUUCAAUUAGAGGGUAUACGCCCUCCUUGACAAUGCUGGUCUCUUGCCGCACAAAGGAACCGCACUCGACUGCUUCCCAGAUGGACAGCGACAGCUAACAGUUGUGGAAUCCUUUUUGAAAGCACCAGAUUGCCAAAGUUCCACAGCGA